CUCCUGAGCCCCUGCGCCGGGGAGGGCCAGGCUCGAGGUCACGUGACCCCAGUGAGGCCCCACAGCCAAUCAGGAGCAGUGCACGUAAUGCCCUGCAGGGGCACCGUGGCCGCAGCCACUGGGCUCUCUUGGGGACCUCCUCCUCUGGAUGCUGCAAUGCCACCGCCGGGCUGGAAGAGGAUGCCUUCGAGUUAAAAAAAAGUCAGACCUCUUUGGUUUCGCUACCGGAGAGGGGCUCCUUAAUUACCUGUUAAUGGCCGGUGAUUAACUAUUGUUUCCCUGAUGCUGGCCACUUGCCAAGAAGACACCAGGACAGACCCUCCAAGGUAAAGAGAAUGGGCAGUGACAUCAGAGCCAGUAUGCAGAUGAGAAAUGCAUUGCGCCCCGAAUUUUUACAGUUUUUACA